rnacentral:rRNA from 1 species
GACGAACGCUGGCGGCGUGCUUAACACAUGCAAGUCGAACGGAAAGGCCCUGCUUUUGUGGGGUGCUCGAGUGGCGAACGGGUGAGUAACACGUGAGUAACCUGCCCUUGACUUUGGGAUAACUUCAGGAAACUGGGGCUAAUACCGGAUAGGAGCUCCUGCUGCAUGGUGGGGGUUGGAAAGUUUCGGCGGUUGGGGAUGGACUCGCGGCUUAUCAGCUUGUUGGUGGGGUAGUGGCUUACCAAGGCUUUGACGGGUAGCCGGCCUGAGAGGGUGACCGGCCACAUGGGGACUGAGAUACGGCCCAGACUCCUACGGGAGGCAGCAGUGGGGAAUGUUGCACAAUGGGCGGAAGCCUGAUGCAGCAACGCCGCGUGCGGGAUGACGGCCUUCGGGUUGUAAACCGCUUUCGCCUGUGACGAAGCGUGGGUGACGGUAAUGGGUAAAGAAGCACCGGCUAACUACGU